rnacentral:siRNA from 1 species
UGUUGCCAGACAACUGGGUGGU